GAGACAAACAUCUUUAAAAAAGCGUAGACAUCUGGUUCAGCUCCUGUUUCAGAGGUUUCAGCACUGAUCAUUUGGAUUUGCUUUAGCCUGCAGCAGCACAGGCUGGGUGGUGUGGGGUAAAUAUGUUCUUCUCUCGGUAGACUUGGCUGUGAUGUGUCUGUCUUCUUGUGUACCAUGGACUCUGCCUCUGUGGACCAGAAAGUACUUGUUCAAAAACUUUGUCUCUGCUUGGAGGAACACAGGCACACACAUCAAAAGGACAAAGAAACUCAUAGGAGUCAGUUCUCUCCUUCUACUAUGUGGAUUCUGAGGCUUGAACUCAGGUCAUCAGGCAGCAGCCGCCACAGCUUCCAGCCAGCCACACAGUUGGGAGACAAUGAACCAACAGACUCUACAAGCUGGUGGCAGGAAUUGGAAGGUGGUGGAACCUUUGAAAGAUGGUGGCAGCAGAGCAAGAAGAACAAAACCCUUGAAGAUCUGGACAGGUCUCUGCUGCCUGACCCACCAGAAUGGGAACGGCUUCUACCACCCAGCCCUGUGGCCGUGAAAUCUGACCUCCUGCUCUUCCUCCCCUGUCACAAUGGAUGAAACCAAGAACCAGAGUUGGCAGAGACUCUGUUCUUUACAACUAUUCAUCCAUCAGGCUACCAAAGACCCCACUGUCCCACGUUGUCUGGCUCCCAUAGUCUUCACAAUUACUGCAGAAGAAGGGAGGAGAGGAGAGGAAAGAACUAGGCACCAGCUUUUUAUGUCUCCAGCCAGAAAUGAUAGAGAUCACUUCUGUACACACUUUGUUGGCUAAAACUAACUGCUUGAUCCUAAUCCCACCCAGUUCCAAGGAAACAGAAGAGACAGCUUUCUACUCCCAAAAAGGACAGAAGGAAUGUGUCUUCUCAAGUACAGGCAAUACUGCCCAAGCCUGGCUUAUUUGUGCAUAUAAACCUACAGUUAACACCCUGCCAUUUGUCAUGGGUGUCCUUCCAUGGCUAUUUCUAUUUCUUGUAAGUAGCCAUAUAGCUUAUAGUUGUCAUUGUUAAGUCAAAUCGUGUUGUGCUAGAAUAAUUCCUUACCAUUUAAUGGCUAAUUAUGAGAUCAAUUUGAUUUUAUGAUAAAAUUUUAAGCAAAAGCUUUGCAUGGUUUUUGAAUUAUUGCAUUAUUAUCUUGUUUUACUUCAAAGAGAAAGUUUCUGUGAAAAGUGGGCAUACUAAAAAUGUUCCAUAUCCCUUUGCAAAACUCCCUUCGCUCUCCAGACCUAAAGAACCCUGAGGACGGUGGGACGCAUGCUCAUUUUCCUGUGCUGUUCUUAGGAUGGAAUAUUAAACACCCCUGCUAAUAAAAUUAAUACAAAAUUGUGCUUGUUUUAAUUGCUCUGUUGUCUUUAAUCACAAUAAAGAGAAAUACAAUGU
rnacentral:lncRNA from 1 species